UCCCAGAGAGUGCCUAUGAAAGUUUGGA
rnacentral:piRNA from 1 species